rnacentral:rRNA from 1 species
AUUGAACGCUGGCGGCAGGCCUAACACAUGCAAGUCGGACGGUAGCACAGAGAGCUUGCUCUCGGGUGACGAGUGGCGGACGGGUGAGUAAUGUCUGGGGAUCUGCCCGAUAGAGGGGGAUAACCACUGGAAACGGUGGCUAAUACCGCAUAACGUCGCAAGACCAAAGAGGGGGACCUUCGGGCCUCUCACUAUCGGAUGAACCCAGAUGGGAUUAGCUAGUAGGCGGGCUAACGGCCCCCCUAGGCGACGAUCCCUAGCUGGUCUGAUAGGAUGACCAGCCACCCUGGAACUGAGACACGGUCCAGACUCCUACGGGAGGCAGCAGUGGGGAAUAUUGCACAAUGGGCGCAAUCCUGAUGCAGCCAUGCCGCGUGUAUGAAGAAGGCCUUCGGGUUGUAAAGUACUUUCAGCGGGGAGGAAGGCGAUGUGGUUAAUAACCGUAUCGAUUGACGUUACCCGCAGAAGAAGCACCGGCUAACUCCGUGCCAGCCGCCGCGGUAA